GGGUCUCAGUGGAGCCCAGCUGGAGGUCUUGAGCAGACGUGUUGAAGAAAUAAAUUACCACCACCACCACCACUCACCUGAACACACGCUGCACCUUGUGUCUGAUGUGCUCCUUGGUGGUGUUCCCGAGCGGCGGCGCCUCCACCAGGUACACCCCGAACAGCCUCGCCACGGCCAGCACCUCCCGCUGCCGCCCGUCGCCGUACACAGCCACCUUCUCCCUGUUCAGCCCAGGCGCCUCCCACAAGCUCUUCAACGUCCUGGAAAGAGAAGGUUCCAACGCCUCACUCACCUCGUCGCCCGCAUGGAAGAACAAAUCAUGCCAGCUGCUCACGCCACAGUCACAGAGGGCGCCGUAUCCUUCGAAGCGCUGGCAGAACACACGGCGGGCCUCGUUCCGUUCGUUCACCGGCCAGUCACACUCUCCUGAAGGCACGGGAGGCGAGGUUGAGGAAUGAGAGACUGAGAAAUAGGAAAGUAGAAUAGAAAGAGAAGAAUGAUAGAGAAAUGGGAGAUGAAGAUUUUGAUGGUAAGGUAAGCUAAGUUGAACGGAGGAGUAGAAAGAGAAGAGUAGGAGAGAAGGAAGACUAGAGUAGAGAAGAGGAACGAAGAAAAAGAUUGGAAAGAUGUGGGAGAAGAUGGAGAUUUUGAUGGUAAGGGAAGCGAAGUUGAGAAAGACGGGGAAAUGGGAAAGAGGAGUAGAAAGAAAAGAAUAGGAAAGAUAUGGGUGAUGAAAAUUUUGUCGGUAAGGAAAGCGAAGUUGAGGAAUGGGAAAUGGUGUAAUGGGAUCGGAAAUAGAAAUAAGAGAAAAAUGGGUAAGAAAUGGAGUGGUGGAAAUUUUGAUGGUUAAGGAAGCAAAAAUGGAGGAAAGGGAAAUGGGGCAAUGAGAAAGAUGAGUAGAAAGAAUUGAGUAGAAGACAGAAGAAUGGGUAAGAAAUGGGAAGUGAUGGAUCGUGUCAAGGUAGGGAAGAAAUAAUGAAGACUGCGAGAAUAUGAAGGAAAUGAGAAAUAUGAAGGAAAUAAGGAUAAGCUAAACUGAAGUUGAGGAAUGGGAAAUGGGGGAAAUGAGGAAGAGUAAGAGAAAGAAGAGUAAAAGAGGAGUAGAAGAGAAGAACGGAAAAGGAUACGAAAGCGAAGGGCAUGAAUAAUGGGGAAUAUAAUGAUGGAACCGUCUUUGAGGAAACUUAAUUAAGAGACACGGUAAUACAAAUUGAGAUAGGGUGAGAGAUUUGGGUAUAGCUGUAUCGGUUAAAUAAUAGUUUGUUUAUUUAUCUAUUAGGCUAUCUAUUUCAUUCUAUCAUUGUUGGCAUUCAUUCUCUUCUAUUGAUAAAUUUUCUGGUAAUUAAAGGAACACAGCUACCCAAUCAGCUAUUUCCUUUGCUUGUUAUUCGUUUGGUAUGCAAUUUCUUCUGUUUAUUAAAGUUUCCCGUACACUAAAGGAAACUAACUAUUUAUUAGGCUAUAUUUUCAUUGUGGCAUCCCAAUUAAUGGUUUUCUGUU